rnacentral:rRNA from 1 species
CCAGACUCCUACGGGAGGCAGCAGUGGGGAAUAUUGCACAAUGGGCGAAAGCCUGAUGCAGCAACGCCGCGUGAAGGAAGAAGGGUUUCGGCUCGUAAACUUCUAUCAACAGGGACGAAAGAAAUGACGGUACCUGAAUAAGAAGCCCCGGCUAACUACGUGCCAGCAGCCGCGGUAAUACGUAGGGGGCAAGCGUUAUCCGGAUUUACUGGGUGUAAAGGGAGCGUAGACGGCAAUGCAAGCCAGAUGUGAAAGCCCGGGGCUCAACCCCGGGACUGCAUUUGGAACUGUGUAGCUGGAGUGUCGGAGAGGCAGGCGGAAUUCCUAGUGUAGCGGUGAAAUGCGUAGAUAUUAGGAGGAACACCAGUGGCGAAGGCGGCCUGCUGGACGAUGACUGACGUUGAGGCUCGAAAGCGUGGGGAGCAAACAGGAUUAGAUACCCUCGUA